CUCUAUGCCCCAAAACAGACCCGCAGCGAUCCCUAUUCCCGUGCCCCAAAACAAACCCUCUCUUCCCCACGCUCCUCUCCUCUCUUCCUCGUGCGCCUCUCUUCCCCAUGCCCCAAAACAUCGCCUCUUAUCCUCGCGAUGCAUGCCACCCCCUCCUCUCACGGAUCGCCAUUCGCCGUCGCCACCACCGUCGUUCGCCAACGCAACUGCCUCUCACCAUCACGAUGCAUGCCGCGGCCGUUCGCCUCGUCUCACGAACCACCAUUCACCACCACCGCCGUUCGUAGCCUCUCAGGACCAGCGUUCGCCUCCUCUCAUGACCUCCAUUCAUCUGCGCUCGUCACCAACCUCCGUGGUCUGUUCGAACUUUCCAUCUGUCAGCCAUCACUAUUUUUUCAAGGUCUUGUCUUCUCCCAUCGGCUCUUCAUCUUUCCUUAGUCGAGACAGAGCCUUCAUCUUCUCCCAUCGGCACCCCUCCCUGUUGUGCCCUUGUUUUGCUCCCUUGCUACUGGCAUUCUAUGGGGAGUCAUCCGAUCGGGGCCUUCUUUCUCCUCUUCCUGCUGCUCUCCCAUCUCUGGCUGGGAGCUGACCGUACUCGAGACCCCCUAUGGCAUCCUAUGGGGAGUCACCAUUCUUCCUCGGUGAAGUUCGAUCUUCGAAAAUAGGUGGUCCCAUUCCCACCUACGAUAGGCACCCAUUCCUUCUCUAGUCGGAUUUGAUCCUCCCCUUUCUCUCUUCUUGUGGGGGGUUGCCGAUGUUCGAAACCUAGUCGGCCCCUUCCCACCUCUAGUCUCCGAUCAGCCAUUGGUCAUUCACCAGAAUCGUAUCGGAGUCUCUGCUCUCCCUCUCCUCCUCCGACUGUCUGCUGCCAGAAUUUCACGGGGAACCCAUGCCAGACCCUCCUCUCCCUCCCCUCCUUCGACUGUGAUUUCAUGCCUAUAAUCUAUUUGUGGUUUUAUUUUUGCAAUGAGAAAUCUAUUUUUGGAUUUUUUUUUUGUUUGAUUUUUUUUUAUUGUCUUAAAUCGUGAGUCUCAAGUGAUUUCACACUGACAAUUCAUUUGUGGUUUUGCUUUUAUAAUGAGAAAUCUAUUGUUUGGAGAUCGAGGAUUUAGAUAUUUCUCUUACCUGCCCUUCAAUGGAUGUUUCUUUGCUUUUUCAAAAUGUUAGAUGGGAUUGAAAAGAAUUGGAGUUGAAGGGUGUUUUGAACUUUUGAUCCUCAGAUUCUCCUAUCCUCUAUCUUCUUCGAACUUCAUGAAUGUUGGUAGCAAGUAUUUCUUGUUCAUUAUGUGGUAGCCCAACUUGCUAUAGUUUUGUAGUAUGCCAGGAUUUAAAUUUUAAUACCUAUCUUCAGAUUUUUGUUUUAAGAUUUGUAUGAAGAGGCUAUUAUGACUUUGGAUUAAAUUUUGCUGAUUCAAUUAUUUCAAAUGACCGUAAUCUUGGAUGGUCUGCUUUUACAGGCAAUCGAUUGUAGUCAUUUUGAUUUAGCUGCAGAUUAAAUAAUGAAUCUGAGCCUCCUCUUCCUCUUCCCUUCUUUGUUGUUCUAAUUAUUUAGUAAUUGUGUAUGCUGAUUUUUUAAUUUUGAAUUAAAUGUUUCACUGGAAGUUGUCAUCCAAACUCUUCUUGAUAUUGGUUCAAAAAGUUUCACUCAUUUAAUCACAGUUUUGGAGAGAUAUGGUUAAGUCAUAGCUAAGUUGUGUCCUGGUCAUGAUAAGCAAGUUUUGCUAAUAGACGAAGUCAGUUCCUACUGGAAGAACAAUACUCAGAUGACUGCUAUUGCUAUUGACAAAAUGAUGAGUUACCGACUCAUAUCCAAUUUGUCAAUUGUGAGAUGAAUUUUUUCUCUUUCUAAUGUCAACCAAUUCCAUAUUUCAGAUCAUCCACGGGAGGUAUGCUUUGCAUCUUAAUACUUUUAUAAUCUGUUACGAUUUAUUGGUAAGGUUUAUGACGUUAUUGCAUUUUGUCAUAGAACUUGGCCAGCAGUAUGCUAUUCUUAGUACUACUGCAAAUUCGACAAGAUGGAUUUAUCAUUUUCUUUUCAGAUUGACAUGGUGAACCUUCGUUUAAAAUAGUAAAUCUAAAUCUGCAUAAUCACAUCACAAUAUUUACAUAGCUUAGUUAAGAAAGAUACAAGUGCACAUUCUUUUUUCAAGGGAGCUAUUGAAUAUAUUUUUUUAACUUGUUUGAGCUUUCGUGCAGCGCAUAUCGCCAGAUAUUUUUUUUGAGAUGUUUAAUGGAUAUCUAAAUCGAGGUAAGCCAAUUGCAAACAUGACAUUUAGGAUUUAUGGUGUGCUUAGCAUAUAUACAGGUGUGGAGGCAAUGUCUUCUUUCAAGCAAGUUCAUGACAUGAAGAUUCCUCUAAAACAAAUGUUCCUCAUUCAAGUAAAUUGCACUAACCCAUGGCUCUUCAUAAUAAUCCCACUUAAAGGAAGGAACACCACAAAUUGAGAAAAAGUGAUGAAGAAAUGCAUUCUCCUAAGAUGUUGGACCAAUUUGUUAUGAUCAAUACUUGUGCAUAUCUAAUGAUUACCUGUACCAAAUUAUAGUACAUUUGAGUGUUUUGGAAUGGAUGAUAUGUUCUCACGAGUAGCCUCUAUUUACAUGAAGUAGAUUAUUGGCAUAGCAUUGUCAACAGUGGCUAAUUUGGUUACAGGAUAAUGGAUGUUUAGUUUGGAUUAUGGUGGCUGGUUUGGUUUGGAUUAUGAUGGUUAUUUUGGUUUGAGAAUAUCUUUUAUGGUGGCUGAUUUUAGAACUUAAAUUAUAGUUGGUUUGACAAAUUCUUGAUUAAUGGAUACAGAUAGUUUGCUGCUUCUUGAUUGAUUAUAGUGUCAUUCAGAUAUUUUUUUACAUAUUUUCUUAUCAGUGCCUCCAUCUAUCUCCUUUUAUUGUUUAUUUUCAAGCAUGGGAGAAUAAUUAUAAAGAAACCAAAGAUUGUAGGUUUUUUCAUUACUUUGAAUAUAAAAGUGGAAGGUCUAAUGUUAGUAUCUAUUCUCGAAUCUUUUAAAUAGAAGAUUUCAUUUAAUAUUUGAUUACUCAAGUUUGAUAUGAUAUACUUCAUUGAUGAUUAUAUGUAGUCAAUAAAUCUGUUUAUCUUUGUAUUAACUUAUUUUUCUUUGCUAUUUCAUUUAGGUCAUACUUUUUAUAUGAAGAAAGUAUUAAAAUGAUCGGAAUGCUAGACAACUGAGGAAGUUUCAAGUUUGAACAAUGAGAGAUCCUUGUUCUUUUCUUUGUUGGGAGUUGGAGCACGUCCAGAAGGGAAGAGUUUCUCUUUUAUGUCUAAGAAGAGACUUCAAAAGGAGUUGGAGCAGUCACAAAAGCAUAAUCAAGAGAUGAAGAAUGAGAUUGUAGACAUUAAGGCGCAGAUGGAGCGUCAACAAAAGAUUUUGGAAACUUUAUGUGCAUCACAGAAUAUCUCUUUAUCAAAUUUAUGACGGAUCUUAUGAUUCAAGAACUUGUGAAGAUGUGGUUUUGAGGACAUCAUGGUAGAGCGACCUUUUGCAUUUUAGAUUGUCGACUUAUGAACUCAUUUAUUUUGUUAUAGACAGUUGGAUAAUGAGUUUGUUUGCUUUUGGUUAGAGGUAAUUGUUUGCUUUUGGUAGAGAUAUGAUCUCUUGGUGCUUUUAGUUGGA